GGUAACAUUUCACCCGUUUUUUUCACCUUGAGGAUACGCAGUUUGGACAGCCAUAGUCGAUACUUAUCAGCUUUUUACUAAACUCUCGUCCAACUUCCUUAUGCAGUUAUCGACGAGCGUGUCG
rnacentral:ncRNA from 1 species